UUCCACGUUACCGUGGGAGAUGUCUGUGUGUGACACACUCCCUUCCUAGGCGUGGGAGAGUAUUUCUUGCUUUUGGCAAAACUGCUUCUUGUGAUUUGUGGAAACAGUGUUGUUUGAGCAAGAGACAAGG